UGGGUGUGUAUAAGUGUCUAUGUGUGUGUGUGUGUGUGUGUGUGUUGUGGCUACAUCAAUUAACAUCAAGCUCAACAUAUUUGCAGCAACAAUUCUUUUGUAUAGAGUUAGAU